UUAUUUUAAGUUAAUAGUGUACUGGUUAUAACUAAUAUCAAAUCUUUACUAAUACUUGAUUUCUUUUUAUGAUGGUUGACUUUGCGAGAACUAACGGAGCAUUAGUGUCAAGAAUGGGCUGAGAUUCGAAUUCAGUCGGUUUUUCGCUCUUUUUUGACAAAAAGGGAUCAAGAUCGGGACCGUCCAUUUGACUUCACACGGAUCACCAUCUGCUUUCUCUCUCAAAGCUCACACAUCUGACAAAAAGGGAUGCCAAAAGCAGGGAAGUACAAUCUACAGGAAAAAGCAACACUUUACUUUUGUGUGAAAGACAGCUUGCUUGCUGCAGUCUCUAUAAUAUAUCAACACUCUUCCAUACACUGUUUGAAAGACAGCACUGCUUCCUUCAGUCUCUAUAAAUAAUCCAGAGAUAUCUACACUCUACUCACACUUUACAAACUCUCAACUACACUCAACUGAAAUUAAUAUAUCAACUCUUUGCAUUCGGAUCUUGCGUUGUUUCUCGGCUCUCACAUCAAGGUUUUAAAAUUUUUGUCGGCUUUUCACAUCUCCCUCUUGCAUUGUUGUAAGUUCUUUCAAAUAUGACAUAGUGAACGGAUAAAUU